UUAUAGGAAAAUAAAUCUCAAGAUUUUAUUAAAUCUCGGCCCAAAUUUAUCAGUUACCACAUUCCAUAGUUCAAGCCCAAUGAACAAUACAUCACAUUUUUAAUAUGGGCUCACAGAAUAAUUUCGUCUAUGAUAAUACACGACUAUAUGUAAGUAAAUUCUACAACUGCGGAGUCACUAACUGAUAUAUAUACAUAGAUUUUUAUACAUAUAAAUACAUAGCAAAAUAAUUAUUGAACUAGGAAAAUUUUCUUUCUAACCCUGAGGCGAAGGAACAUAGCUUAACCGAAUUAAAGAGAAACUUACUUCCUGAAAAAUUAAACAAGAUAUGUGAGCUUUCUAAGGAGUAAAUAUUAUUGCACAACACACACAUUCACACAAAUGUGUAAAUAUAUCAAUCUAGUCAUCCGACUAGUUAUAUGCUCA
rnacentral:lncRNA from 1 species